rnacentral:misc_RNA from 1 species
ACUCUUUAAAAAUCCAACGUGUCUUAAACAUCCGUUUUAGGACAUAAACCCCCUUUUUUUUAAAAGCGAACUAAAACGAAGGAUUUAUUUCUCUUCGUUUCUUUUUUUUUUUCUCUUUUACCACAAACCCAAUUGAAUUUUUUAGACUGAAACUUUUUUUUUUCCUUCUGGAAACAGAGAAAAAAAUAAAAAAAACAAAAUGCUAUACAACUCUUAACAACGGAUAUCUUGGUUCU